GCUCGCUGCUGCUGCCACGUAAGAAGUGUGUUGCUUCCCCUUCGUCUUCCACCAUGAAUAACAGAAUGGCAAUUUUCGUGUGGUGUUAAUUUCCGUGGAAGAAGAAAAGGCUCGACUCUCUGUCCUAUUUUUCAUGAAUACUGGAAGUAGGGAAUAAACCUGGAGUCUCACGGGUGAAAAGAGACAUUUCCAUAUCACCAGACCACAAACGUGGGUGUUGAUUCUAAGGAUACCCCCAAUAAACAUCUUUCGUGCUAAAGCCCAUUCCAGAAUUUACUUCCCAGCUAUCUUUGAUGUUCAUAUUGUCAGAGGUGGUGGCCGCUGAAACAGGCAAAGACAUGGAGCAUAUCUUGGGUCCAGGACCUUGGGAGUCCAGAGGAAGGUCUUUUUACCAUCAGCAUUCUCUACUGUGUUCAAUGACUGUCAGCCAAAGAUGGCCAGGUUCUCUACUGUGAUGGUGAAUUUUAUGUGUCAAUUUGACUGGACCAUGGGAUGCCCAGCUUUCCUUCAGAAAGAAAUGCAUUCAAAGAACCUACAUUCACAACAUAAAGAAAUAAAGCACACACAAGACCGCCAAGCAUUAAGAUUCUCCUGUGGAGCCAGGCUACAAUCCUUUAAAUGAAGACAGACAGCUAGGUGGCUGCAGCCCAGCGCUACACCUCACCCCUCCCUCAGUGUCAUGCAGAAAAAAUGUAUUCAGAACUCAGAAGUGAAGUUGUGCAAAUCCAUCAUUGACACUAGCUUCAAGGUUACCUCGGGGGAGCAGAAUGUACCCCUGCCAGAGAGCUGGAUAGAUGAUGAUGGGGACAGAAAUUCUGGGGGAGUUGUAAAUGGCAGCCACUGCCUCUAUAGGAAACCCAAAGGGAACACAGCAGAAGAGGAGGUGGUGGAGGAGCCACUGCCCUCUCGAAGGGUUCAAUGUCAUUCUGCAGACACAACCAAAUAACUUUUUCUUCCCUGCUGCUCCUCCAUUUGAAAUGACAGCCCCGAGCUCGCUUUUUCCUUGAUUGUGUAACUCUGAUUACAGACAAGGCCAAGGCAAUCCCAGGGCAUUACUACAAAGCUAAGGGGUCCCCAAAGAACUAAAGAGUCAGCUCCACAAAAAUCCCGAUUCCUAGCAUGAAACUGAAAUAUGAAACCAAACGGGCAUAGAAAAGGUAUGUGCAUUCGAAUCACAUAGCAGUGACUGGAGUCCUGAGCUGUGUCUGAAGACUGUGAGAUCACGUUUGGAGCUGCUGAUUGGUUUUCAGUGAUGGCCCUGUUGCACAGUGCCGUGAGACUUAGCUCCAUGGCCAAAGACGAUGGUAUCCCCUAGGAGCCCUGUGAGGUUGCUGCUGUUCUCUUAAGACACCAGGUAGCCAUCUGAUCCUCCCUGAGCAAACUAACUGGGCAGACAGGUUUAUUAAACCUCUGUUGGUCCGACUUACAUGAAACAAGAGAGUUAUUUUGUUGUUGUUGUUUUGUUUUGUUUUAAAUUAAACCUGUCUUUGGAGCC
rnacentral:lncRNA from 1 species